rnacentral:rRNA from 1 species
CAGCAACGCCGCGUGUGGGAUGAAGGCCUUCGGGUUGUAAACCUCUUUUGGCAGGGAAGAAACCGACGGUACGGAUACUAUGGGCGGAUGACCACUACCUGCCGUGACCCCCCGCGCUAUUAUAUGCCAGCAGCCGCGGUAAUA